GCCCAAGAGAUCGGGAUAACACCUGGAAACAGAUGCUAAUACCGGAUAACAACAGAUGAUGCCUAUCAACUGUUUAAAAGAUGGUUCUGCUAUCACUCUUGGAUGGACCUGCGGUGCAUUAGCUAGUUGGUAGGGUAACGGCCUACCAAGGCGAUGAUGCAUAGCCGAGUUGAGAGACUGAUCGGCCACAUUGGGACUGAGACACGGGCCCAAACUCCUACGGGAGGCAGCAGNU
rnacentral:rRNA from 1 species